UUCGUCCUUCCCACACACACACAUAGUGCCUGCAGACGUUGCAAGGUGAGUCUUCGUCCUUCCCACACACACACAUAGUGCCUGCAGACGUUGCAAGGUGAGUCUUCGUCCUUCCCACACACACACAUAGUGCCUGCAGACGUUGCAAGGUGAGUCUUCGUCCUUCCCACACACACACGUAGUGCCUGCAGACGUUGCAAGGUGAGUCUUCGUCCUUCCCACACACACACACGUAGUGCCUGCAGACGUUGCAAGGUGAGUCUUCGUCCUUCCCACACACACACGUAGUGCCUGCAGACGUUGCAAGGCGUGUCUGUCGCCGAGUCGUCAACGCCCUCGUUGGAACAGGGUUGUUUUCAUUAAAGGAACAACGAAGUAAAACGCUUUGCAAUGGAAAACGAAAACGGGUGUUUGUCAAGUUCAGGUAGUCCCUCCCUGUUUCAGCCCGUUUUCUUCUGUUUGGUGGUUUGUAAAUACAACCAUGUUUGAUUGAUUGGUUGAUUUGAUAUGACUUAUAUAGUGCGUUCUUGACUCUCAAAAUGCUUUACAUAGUAUGGGGGGGGGGACUCCCUUCAAACUCCACCAUCUACCACAGACAACUCUACAACCUCCUCCUUUUAUCUGUAAGUGGGGAAAAUGUCUGGAAUUGGCCAAUGUUGGACCCGAGCAAAAGGCUGUUGCUCCGAGAUAUUCACUCAAUGAUGUGCUUGGCUGUGCAUGGCCAAACAGAGCCAACACAUUGUGGGCCAGCCACUCUCCAGAUAGGGAUCAUUUCCCUGGCUCAGGAUGUUAGUGUAACAGUUCUCUCAACCAUUAGCACUAAGUACCUUUACCUUGAAUGGGGAGAAAUGGAGAAACCCUUACUGUGCAGCUGCACUGUUUUCUGCCAGUGCUAAUUUCCCCCCCAAAUGGCCUUAUUAGUGAACUACAAACCCAACGAUUCCCAUUGAACUACAACUCACACAUAUCCCCUCCCUUUGGAACAAAGGGAAUAGAUAUCGCCCUGUUUUAGAAUGAGCAAGAAGAGGGGAGGAUGUGAGAGGAGGGGUGAAAGAAGGGGUGAUGGCCCUGCAUGAGGAUGAGAGAGAGAAGGCAAGAAGAGCCUUCUAUGCUAUCAAAAGGAACAUAAAAUUCGACAUACCAAUUAGGAUCUAGCUAAAAAAAGUACUUGAAUCAGUAAUGGAACCCAUUUCCUUUUAUGGUUGUGGGGUCUGAGGUCCACUCACUAACCAAGAAUUCACAAAAUGGGACAAACACCAAAUUGAGACUGCAUGCAGAAUUCUACAAAAAUAUCCUCUGUGUACAACGAAAAACACCAAAUAAUGCAUGUAGAGCAGAAUUAGGCCAAUAACCGCUAAUUAUCAAAAUCCAGAAAAGAGACAUUAAAUUCUACAACCACCUAAAAGGAAACGAUUCCCAAACCUUUCAUAACAAAGCCUUCCCCGACAGAGAAAUACAUCUAGAGAAGAGCCCCUUAAGCAAGCUGGUCCUGGGGCUCUGCUCACAAACACAAACAGAUCCCCAGGACAGCAACAUAAUUAGACCCAACCAAAUCAUGAGAAAACAAAAAGAUAAUUACUUGACACGUUGGAAAGACUUUACAAAAAAACUGCGGACUAGAAUGGUAUUUGGCCCUAAACAGAGAGUACACAAUGGCAGAAUACCUGAACACUGACUGACCCAAAAUUAAGGAAAUAUUUGAUUUUGUACAGACUCAGUGAGCAUAGCCUUGCUAUUGAGAGAGGCCACAAAAUGAGGUGGAAACUGAGCUGUACUUCCUAACCUCCUGCCAAAUGUAUGACCAUAUUAGAGAGACAUAUUUCCCUCUGAUUACACAGACUCACAAAGAAUUUGAGAACAAACCCAAUUUUGAUAAACUCCCAUAUCUACUGGGUGAAAUACUACAGUGUGCCAUCACAGCAGCAAUAUUUGUAACGUGUUGCUGCAAGAAAAGGCCAACCAGUGAAGAACGAAUACAACAUAUAUUUAUUUUCCCUUUUGUACUUGAACUAUUUGCACAUUUUUACAACACUGUAUAUAGACAUAAUGACAUUUGAAAUGUCUUUAUUCUUUUGGAACUUUUGUGAGUUAAUUUUUUGUUAUCUAUUUCACUUGCUUUGGCAAUGUAACAUGUGUUUCCCAUGCCAAUAAAGCCCCUUACAUUGAAAUGUAAUUUAAUUGAAAGGAGGAUGAGGGAUGAACAAAAGUGGAUGGGGUCCUGUCUUGUCGGGGAGCCUGGCCCAGGUCCUGUCUUGUCGGGGAGCCUGGCCCAGGUCCUGUCUUGUCGGGGAGCCUGGCCCAGGUCCUGUCUUGUCGGGGAGCCUGGCCCAGGUCCUGUCUUGUCGGGGAGCCUGGCCCAGGUCCUGUCUUGUCGGGGAGCCUGGCCCAGGUCCUGUCUUGUCGGGGAGCCUGGCCCAGGUCCUGUCUUGUCGGGGAGCCUGGCCCAGGUCCUGUCUUGUCGGGGAGCCUGGCCCAGGUCCUGUCUUGUCGGGGAGCCUGGCCCAGGUCCUGUCUUGUCGGGGAGCCUGGCCCAGGUCCUGUCUUGUCGGGGAGCCUGGCCCAGGUCCUGUCUUGUCGGGGAGCCUGGCCCAGGUCCUGUCUUGUCGGGGAGCCUGGCCCAGGUCCUGUCUUGUCGGGGAGCCUGGCCCAGGUCCUGUCUUGUCGGGGAGCCUGGCCCAGGGUCCUGUCUUGUCGGGGAGCCUGGCCCAGGGUCCUGUCUUGUCGGGGAGCCUGGCCCAGGGUCCUGUCUUGUCGGGGAGCCUGGCCCAGGGUCCUGUCUUGUCGGGGAGCCUGGCCCAGGGUCCUGUCUUGUCGGGGAGCCUGGCCCAGGGUCCUGUCUUGUCGGGGAGCCUGGCCCAGGGUCCUGUCUUGUCGGGGAGCCUGGCCCAGGGUCCUGUCUUGUCGGGGAGCCUGGCCCAGGGUCCUGUCUUGUCGGGGAGCCUGGCCCAGGGUCUUGUCUUG